rnacentral:rRNA from 1 species
ACGGAAGGCAGCAGUGGGGAAUGUUGGGCAAUGGGCGCAAGCCUGACCCAGCAACGCCGCGUGAAGGAUGAAGGUCUUCGGAUUGUAAACUUCUUUAAUCGGGGAAGAAGAAAAUGACCUACCCGAAGAAUAAGCCACGGCUAACUACGUGCCAGCAGCCGCGGUAAUACGUAGGUGGCAAGCGUUAUCCGGAUUUACUGGGUGUAAAGGGCGUGUAGGCGGCUCUGCAAGUCAGAAGUGAAAUUCCCGGGCUCAACCUGGGCGCUGCUUCUGAAACUGCAGAACUUGAGUACUGGAGGGGAAAGCGGAAUUCCUAGUGUAGCGGUGAAAUGCGUAGAUAUUAGGAGGAACACCAGUGGCGAAGGCGGCUUACUGGACUGACAAUGACGCUGAGGCUCGAAAGCGUGGGGAGCAAACAGGAUUAGAUACCCUGGUA